CAAGUCGAACGGAAAGGCCUCUUCGGAGGUACUCGAGUGGCGAACGGGUGAGUAACACGUGGGCAAUCUGCCCUGCACUUCGGGAUAAGCCUGGGAAACUGGGUCUAAUACCGGAUAGGACCUUUAGACGCAUGUCUUUUGGUGGAAAGCUUUUGCGGUGUGGGAUGGGCCCGCGGCCUAUCAGCUUGUUGGUGGGGUGAUGGCCUACCAAGGCGACGACGGGUAGCCGGCCUGAGAGGGUGUCCGGCCACACUGGGACUGAGAUACGGCCCAGACUCCUACGGGAGGCAGCAGUGGGGAAUAUUGCACAAUGGGCGCAAGCCUGAUGCAGCGACGCCGCGUGGGGGAUGACGGCCUUCGGGUUGUAAACCUCUUUCACCAUCGACGAAGGUCCGGGUUUUCUCGGAUUGACGGUAGGUGGAGAAGAAGCACCGGCCAACUACGUGCCAGCAGCCGCGGUAAUACGUAGGGUGCGAGCGUUGUCCGGAAUUACUGGGCGUAAAGAGCUCGUAGGUGGUUUGUCGCGUUGUUCGUGAAAUCUCACGGCUUAACUGUGAGCGUGCGGGCGAUACGGGCAGACUAGAGUACUGCAGGGGAGACUGGAAUUCCUGGUGUAGCGGUGGAAUGCGCAGAUAUCAGGAGGAACACCGGUGGCGAAGGCGGGUCUCUGGGCAGUAACUGACGCUGAGGAGCGAAAGCGUGGGGAGCGAACAGGAUUAGAUACCCUGGUAGUCCACGCCGUAAACGGUGGGUACUAGGUGUGGGUUUCCUUCCUUGGGAUCCGUGCCGUA
rnacentral:rRNA from 1 species